rnacentral:rRNA from 1 species
UACGGAGGAUGCAAGCGUUAUCCGGAUUCAUUGGGUUUAAAGGGUGCGCAGGCGGAAUGAUAAGUCAGUGGUGAAAUCCAACAGCUUAACUGUUGAACUGCCAUUGAUACUGUUGUUCUAGAGUAUAGUUGGAGUGGGCGGAAUGUGUCAUGUAGCGGUGAAAUGCUUAGAUAUGACACAGAACACCGAUCGCGAAGGCAGCUCGCUAAGCUAUAACUGACGCUCAUGCACGAAAGCGUGGGGAUCAAACAGG